UCAAAUUUGUGCUAGGAUCAAGUCUCACACAUAUGAUGACUCAUUGUACAGAAACGAAUGUCAUAUCUCUAGUAUAUAAUAGGAGUUCUGUACAAAAACUAAUAAUUACAUCAUACGAAGACAACGAUCCAACACUAUAGUUGAUUGGGAGACAACGGCCUAGACCUCUCACGAACUCAUCGCGGCAUCCUUCAUGCUCCUUAUCCUGCGGUACCUGUCCUUGACCUGGGGGGAUGUGAGUACAACAAGAAUGAGCUCACAUACGUCCAUUGCUCAAUAGUUGUGGGGAAUAAUAUGCAUGAGCUCACUUAAGUGGGGCCCAUGUGAAGUGUAAGGCUUAUCAUAUGAGAUGGUUAAAGCUAGCAUUGCUUUUAAAGUUGGUCAAAAUUUUAUUAGCAGCUACUAAGUGUAGAGUAGAUACCAACCUAAUUAAAUAAGAGAUCACAAUUAAUAAUACACCCACAAUGCAUGUAUAUGACAAAUUAAGUUUAGUUCCAUAGAUUACUCAUGUGAGGGUCGAGCCGCUCAUGAUCGUGGCAUGGUGAUAUACCAAUUUUACAAUUAAGAGGUUGCACAUCUUUACCCACAAGAUGUGUUUCCCGAUUAGCCAGGGUUAGCUAGACCCUUAGACACUUAUAAGGUGAAUGGCUAGGGGAUCCACUGUGAGGCCUUUCCAAAGUUCCCUAGUUUGAGAAAACCCGCUACAGAUUCAGGAAGAAGGAAGCAUAGGAAUCCUCGUCCGAAAAGCUAUCGCAGCAUUCGACCCAAGGACCUCCUUAUACUCUGCAGCGACGCCUCCCACUUGCCCUUUCGGGUAAGGAAAUCUCUCCCUAGCUUUCCUAAUUACUUGGCCAAGGGCGUCCAUUCCACCCUUGUGGUAGCAUUGUUUUCCCAGGUGGUUCUCCAUGUUCCAAUUAACAUGAUGAUCUUAUCAAUUAACAUAAUUAAAACAACAACAAAAUUGAAACAUGAUCAUAAUAUAACAUAAUUUCCAAAAACCAGGUAGAGCAAUAGCAAAUCUACCCAAUAGUUCUUUUGUUUGCAAGGUGUGGGAUAAACAAUACUAGGGAAACCUAUAAGGUCCCAUCAAUUAACCUGAGCAUGUCACAAUGAUUAACAUAGAACAUUAUUAGGUAAAGAAGGUGAUCAAGGGACAACUUGCCUUAGACUUGAGAUUCCCAGGUACUUCACCAAAUUGGUCUUCAGGUGACUCGUGACCUCACUUCUAUUCAUAGCAAUACAUAUAGAUAAACAAAGAAUGGGUAAAAUAACAUUACACCAAACAUGAGAACAAACAACGUAAAGAUAUACUAUACAUUGCUACGAGAUUGUAGGUUCGAGAACGACUAAAAUCAGAUUUAUGGUUAUAAGGAUAUGAUUCUCGGAAGACCUACGUGAUCAAGUAAUUAAAACUAGGUCUUGUGUUGAUUUUGUAGACCAUGUGUAAUUAUAAUCUAAAUACAUAGCUAGUUUAGCCUUAUUCUAAGUUAUAACUUAGUUAGAAAUCAUUUUUUGUCAUCUUAUAAUUAUAGAUAUCUUAAUUUUGAUUAGAAAAGUUAACCUACUAACAUAGGUUCACAAAUACCCAUUUUUGAAAAUAUGUUACUUGGUAAAAUAAUGCUACCAUAGCAUAGGCAAUAUUAUUGCGAAGCUAACGCAACUGGAAUGGAGUAAAGCGGAUUUAAAUCGCAAAAGUUAUAAUUUUUCUAAGCUUUUAGAAUUUCUUUUAUACUAAAAAUCAUUUUCUUUCAUUAAUCCGUGAAUUUCCUAGGGUUGUGGACGGCUGGAAAACAUAUUCAAAAGCUUGGGGUUCCAUGUAAAAAACAAAGGAUCAGUUUGUGAUUAUGUUGAACUAGAUAGGGAUGGCCGGUUGAUAAUAGAUAUUCAUCAGGGUCUCUAUAGCAAAACUACAAGGCGGCUUAACCUGGACUUGGUUCGAGCCAUCCGAUCCUGAUCCUAAAGCCCAGAUUAGAUCGGACCAGAUCUAAAAUGGUACACAAAUCAGCCGCUAGAUUAUGAAUCGUCGGUUCAGAUUUAAAUAAUACGAGAUCACCACGGAUCCGUCCAGUCGCAUCGACGGCCUAGAUUCCAUUUCACGAAGAGUUACGCUAACACCUAAUCAUAUCCGUCCGCUUCAAGAUCAAAGGCUCCUGACCAACCCUGGAUAACACCUCCCUUUCCCCAACAGCUCGAGGUGGCGCCCUAGGGCCAUGGCGGAGGUUCGCCGGAGAGUGGCGAUCCAGCCUCCAAAUAAUCCCUCCUGAAUCCGAAAAGGUGUAGAAGAUAGCAGAGACAGUGGGGAACAUGAUGGAGACGAUCUUACAGGCAAUAGAGUUCUGGGGAGCCGGCCCACGACGACCUGCGGCUUCACGGUGUUGAAGGGACUUCGAUGAGCAAUUGUGUAUCUCCGGUGGAUCUCCUCGCUUGGAAAUGCCACAACAACUGGCGGAUAAUACUGGCAAUCCUCCUAAUCGCCCAUCGAGGACCCGAUGUCACGAAUCAACCGGUGGCG
rnacentral:lncRNA from 1 species